rnacentral:rRNA from 1 species
GGUAGUCCGCACGAGCGCAACCCUUGCCAUUAGUUGCUACGAAAGGGCACUCUAAUGGGACUGCCGGUGACAAACCGGAGGAAGGUGGGGAUGACGUCAAGUCCUCAUGGCCCUUAUAGGUGGGGCUACACACGUCAUACAAUGGCCGGUACAGAGGGUAGCCAACCCGCGAGGGGGAGCCAAUCCCACAAAGCCGGUCGUAGUCCGGAUCGCAGUCUGCAACUCGACUGCGUGAAGUCGGAAUCGCUAGUAAUCGCGGAUCAGCAUGUCGCGGUGAAUACGUUCCCGGGUCUUGUACACACCGCCCGUG